GACGAACCGUGCGAACGUUAUUCGGAAUCACUGGGCUUAAAGGGCGCGUAGGCGGGCCUGAAAGUCAGGGGUGAAAGCCCACGGCUCAACCGUGGAAGUGCCUCUGAUACUUCAGGCCUCGAGGGAGGUAGGGGCGUGCGGAACUUCCGGUGGAGCGGUGAAAUGCGUAGAUAUCGGAAGGAACGUCGGUGGCGAAAGCGGCGCGCUGGACCUCUUCUGACGCUGAGGCGCGAAAGCCAGGGGAGCGAACGGG
rnacentral:rRNA from 1 species